UGGGCAUACUUGUCAAUCACACAGAUCCUGGACCUGGGACCAGUCAGAGGAUGCUGCCUUCAGUUCUUCUGGUAUGAAAGCAAGUAGGUUUUUGCCAAGGCAGCCUAGAUCUGACAUCGGAACUGCAGAUGCAAAAGGAGGCAGCCGUUGGCCUCGUGGCCACUGUGACUCCUCUCAGUGGCCAGCUUUCACUCUGCGGCGCGUGCUGCUUCCACAUUCAGUACACGUGAAACCCUGAUACUUUUUGCACACGUCUUGACCAAUUCUGUGUUCAGAGCAACAAGAACGUGGAAAGAAUCUUUCCAGCCUCCAGCACCUCAGAAUCCCACUAAUGGGCUGGAGAUGGAACCCAGGGUUACAUGCAUGCUAGGCAGGCACUCUGCCACUGAGCUAUGGUCCCCACCCUAUCAACUGGAUUUCACGAUCCUCCCAAACAUUAGCUGAAUAUGGCGACGAUUCACACAGGCUUUCAUGUUAUCUUCCCAGGAAGGGAAGAUAAAUGACGACAAGACAGGGCCCAGAGGUCAACUGGAGGCUGCUGUUUUCCCAGCCAUGGAGGGGCCACCUCCUCCAGCUUCCCUGAGCCAGCCUUGGACUCUGCUGUGAAGAGCCAGGACCACGUGUGGUCACUGUGGGAAAAUCAGGAAACACAGGGAGCCAAAGAAAAUAAAGAUCAGCUGUAACCCGGCUCACCAGAGAGACUCUUGGACACCAUCUUUUAGUGUUUUGUCUAGCAGUUUUUCUUUCUACUAGUGUGUGGCAGGUGUGCGUACUUAUAAACACAUGCAUUUGCCUGUCACUGUAUGUCGUUGUGCAACAUGGACCGUCACUCAACAAUGCUGUGAAUUUUUUGCAUCAUUAAAUGUUCCUCC